UGCAAGUCGAACGGUAGCACAAGAGAGCUUGCUCUCGGGUGACGAGUGGCGGACGGGUGAGUAAUGUCUGGGAAACUGCCUGAUGGAGGGGGAUAACUACUGGAAACGGUAGCUAAUACCGCAUAACGUCGCAAGACCAAAGAGGGGGACCUUCGGGCCUCUUGCCAUCAGAUGUGCCCAGAUGGGAUUAGCUAGUAGGUGGGGUAACGGCUCACCUAGGCGACGAUCCCUAGCUGGUCUGAGAGGAUGACCAGCCACACUGGAACUGAGACACGGUCCAGACUCCUACGGGAGGCAGCAGUGGGGAAUAUUGCACAAUGGGCGCAAGCCUGAUGCAGCCAUGCCGCGUGUAUGAAGAAGGCCUUCGGGUUGUAAAGUACUUUCAGCGGGGAGGAAGGUGUUGUGGUUAAUAACCGCAGCAAUUGACGUUACCCGCAGAAGAAGCACCGGCUAACUCCGUGCCAGCAGCCGCGGUAAUACGGAGGGUGCAAGCGUUAAUCGGAAUUACUGGGCGUAAAGCGCACGCAGGCGGUCUGUCAAGUCGGAUGUGAAAUCCCCGGGCUCAACCUGGGAACUGCAUUCGAAACUGGCAGGCUAGAGUCUUGUAGAGGGGGGUAGAAUUCCAGGUGUAGCGGUGAAAUGCGUAGAGAUCUGGAGGAAUACCCGG
rnacentral:rRNA from 1 species